rnacentral:rRNA from 1 species
AAGAGUGAAGGAGGCUGCUCCUAGUCCGAGAGGACCGGAGUGGACGAACCUCUGGUGUGCGGGUUGAGUCGCCAGACGCAUUGCCCGGUAGCUAAGUUCGGAAUCGAUAACCGCUGAAAGCAUCUAAGGGGGAAGCGAGCCCUGAGAUGAGUCGUCCCUAAUUCUUUAAGUAUCCUAAAGGGUUGUCGGAGACUACGACGUUGAUAGGACAGGUGUGUAAGUGCUGUGAGGCAUUGAGUUAACUGUUACUAAUUGCCGGUGAGGAUUAACCAUACAACACCCAAGGGGUUU